CCUACGGGGCGCUGCAGUGGGGAAUAUUGGACAAUGGGCGAAAGCCUGAUCCAGCCAUGCCGCGUGUGUGAAGAAGGCCUUCGGGUUGUAAAGCACUUUCAGUGGGGAAGAAAGCCUUGGGGCUAAUACCCUCGAGGAAGGACAUCACCCACAGAAGAAGCACCGGCUAACUCCGUGCCAGCAGCCGCGGUAAUACGGAGGGUGCGAGCGUUAAUCGGAAUUACUGGGCGUAAAGCGCGCGUAGGCGGUCUGAUAAGCCGGUUGUGAAAGCCCCGGGCUCAACCUGGGAACGGCAUCCGGAACUGUCAGGCUAGAGUGCAGGAGAGGAAGGUAGAAUUCCCGGUGUAGCGGUGAAAUGCGUAGAGAUCGGGAGGAAUACCAGUGGCGAAGGCGGCCUUCUGGACUGACACUGACGCUGAGGUGCGAAAGUGUGGGUAGCAAACAGGAUUAGAUACCCUGGUAGUC
rnacentral:rRNA from 1 species